rnacentral:ncRNA from 1 species
UGACCUCGAAUCAGGUAGGGAUACCCGCUGAACUUAAGCAUAUCAAUAAGCGGAGGAAAAGAAACCAACAGGGAUUACCUCAGUAACGGCGAGUGAAGCGGUAACAGCUCAAAUUUGAAAUCUGGCCGGUUACGGGCCCGAGUUGUAAUUUGUAGAAGAUGCUUUGGUAAUGAGUCCGGCCUAAGUUCCUUGGAACAGGACGUCAUAGAGGGUGAGAACCCCGUAUGCGGCCGAGUACUCAGUGCCAUGUAAAGCUCUUUCGACGAGUCGAGUUGUUUGGGAAUGCAGCUCAAAAUGGGUGGUAAAUUUCAUCUAAAGCUAAAUAUUGGCCAGAGACCGAUAGCGCACAAGUAGAGUGAUCGAAAGAUGAAAAGCACUUUGGAAAGAGAGUUAAACAGUACGUGAAAUUGUUGAAAGGGAAGCGCUUGCAACCAGACUUGGGCACUGUGGAUCAUCCGAGGUUCUCCUCGGUGCACUCGGCAGUGCGCAGGCCAGCAUCAGUUUGGGUGGUUGGAUAAAGACUUGUGGAAUGUAGCUCCUUUCGGGGAGUGUUAUAGCCACAGGUGCCAUGCGACCAACCCGGACUGAGGACCGCGCUUCGGCUAGGAUGCUGGCGUAA